UACGUAGGCAGCAAGCGUUGUUCGGAGUUACUGGGCGUAAAGGGUGCGUAGGCGGCUUCUUAAGUCUGGUGUGAAAAUCUCCCGGCUCAACUGGGAGGGUGCGCCGGAUACUGAGGGGCUAGAGUGUGGGAGAGGAAAGUGGAAUUCCUGGUGUAGCGGUGAAAUGCGUAGAUAUCAGGAGGAACACCGGUGGUGUAAACGGCUUUCUGGACCAUAACUGACGCUGAGGCACGAAAGCGUGGGUAGCAAACAGG
rnacentral:rRNA from 1 species